UACGGAGGGUGCGAGCGUUGUCCGGAAUCACUGGGCGUAAAGGGCGCGUAGGCGGCGCGGGGAGUCAACGGUGAAAGCUCGGCGCUCAACGCCGAGUCGGCCGUCGAUACUCCCGUGCUUGAGCACUGUAGAGGCAGGUGGAAUUCCGGGUGUAACGGUGGAAUGCGUAGAGAUCCGGAAGAACACCGGUGGCGAAGGCGGCCUGCUGGGCAGUAGCUGACGCUGAGGCGCGACAGCGUGGGGAGCAAACAGG
rnacentral:rRNA from 1 species